UACGUAGGGUGCGAGCGUUUAUCCGGAAUUAUUGGGCGUAAAGAGCUCGUAGGCGGUCUGUUGCGUCCGCUGUGAAAACUCGGGGCUUAACCCCGAGCCUGCAGUGGAUACGGGCAGACUAGAGGUAGGUAGGGGAGAAUGGAAUUCCCGGUGUAGCGGUGAAAUGCGCAGAUAUCGGGAGGAACACCGGUGGCGAAGGCGGUUCUCUGGGCCUUACCUGACGCUGAGGAGCGAAAGCGUGGGGAGCGAACAGG
rnacentral:rRNA from 1 species